rnacentral:lncRNA from 1 species
ACUUUUAAUGACUUUAGUUGAUGAAGCUGAACUAAAGGAUUUAGAACCUGAUGAAAAACGUAGGAAGAUUGAAGACUCUUCUAUAGGCAAAUCAGUGACAUCUGAUGUCUCUGGAGAUUUAGACUUUCUUGUUCCGAAGGCUGGAUUUUUCUGCCCAAUUUGCUCCCUCUUCUACUCAGGUGAAAAAGCAAUGGCAAAUCACUGCAAGAGCACACGUCACAAACAAAAUACAGAGAAGUUCAUGGCCAAGCAAAGGAAGGAAAAGGAGCAGAAUGAGACUGAAGAAAGAAGCUCUAGGUGAUGGAGGAGAGGAGGGAAGAACUCAGUAGAGAUUCAUUUAGGGUCCAGUUGAUUUGUGUAUUUUUGUUAUCAUUUAAUUUGUAAUUUUUGUUUCAGAAACAUAUUCAUGUUGUACAAAUUUCUGAUUGCCCUUGAUGUAGAGAAACUGAUGGGAAAAUAUGAUGGGUUUGAUUUUUAUAUCAAAUCAUCAGGCAUGGAAAUACCUUUUAGAAAUGUUAAAAUAAAUGUUCCUACUGUAUAUUUC